GAAAGAUCAAAGUUCUCACCAAACUCAUUCUAGAUUUUUGUUUGAAACCUAUCGAGUGGCUCCACGACCUCAUGGGAAUGCAUUGGCAUAUGUAAAUGCUGCGUUCCAGGCUGAUGUUUCUCACUGCAAUAACGGAGUCCUGAUAAACAAUAUCCAUUUGGCGUUUGGUGCGUAUGGCACAAGACAUGCAACAAGGGCAAAAAAGGUAGAAGAAUGCCUA
rnacentral:misc_RNA from 1 species